rnacentral:snRNA from 1 species
GGAUGUGAGGGCAAUCUGGCUGUGACAUCUGUCACCUCAUUGAUUGUCAGGGUUGAUUCCGCUGAUCUGGAUGGCUAGGCGGGUGUCCUCUUCCUCCCUCAUUGCUCCAUGUGCAGCCUUCACAGAGCUGCACACUCAGCCGAAGAGAACCAGUCUUGAUAGAGAGGACCAGUCUUUGGUCAAGACCAUGGGAGUAGCUGCAACUCCACUGUUAGAAUCUCCAAACAAGCUCUCAAGAUUGCAAUUUAUUAAAUAAUCUAUUCAUUCAUUUUUUAUUAUUUUAAAACCAUUUAUAUUGAAAUAAUUAUAGGGAUAAUCAGGUUUGCUAA